ACAGAUGGCUGAAACUCAGUCUAGAGUUUCUGAUUCAGGAGGCCUGGGGUGGCAUGAGAAUUUGCAUUUCUCAUAGGUUCCCAGGUGAUGCUGAUGCUGCUAGUCAGGGGAUCACACUUUGAUAACCCUUUAAGCCAUUUUAACUUUCUUAUCUCAUAAUUUAAUUUGGUGGGAUUCAACCAUCAUGAGGCAUGUAUAUCCCCUGGCUUAGAAGAAGCCAGAGGUGCAUGGGUGGUUCAGUGGUAGAAUUCUAGAAGAAGCCAGAGUUUAGUAAGUUCGUGAUAGGUUGGUUAUUUUUCCAAUCCAGAUUUAUUUCAAGUCAAAGAACUGCAUACAGAAAAGCAUGGUUGAUGAAAUGGUUCGAUGCUUGAAGAUGUCAGACUGUAGAAUCUCUACAGGACAGAUCUGGACAUGUGUGGAUGGGUUUACCUAAGGUGAGGCUCACCCAUGGAAGCAACAGUGGCAAGCCCCAGCAAAUGGGAAUCACGGAGUCCAAACACAGCCUCCGAGGAACAGCAACUCUCCAUGACAAGUGGCAGAAACCCCAGGGGUUCCAAGGAUGUACCCCUUGGCCAACAAGUGGGAAAGUGCUAGACUCCCAUAUCUGUAUCUGCUUCUCUACUCUUCAUCACCUCCAAAUCUCAAAUGUAAGUAGAACAGCUCAUAUUCAUUCAUUUUAUAUUGGAAUUUUCCAUAUAAUUUUAUUUGAAGAAAGUCCUGGUACUUAAAAAGAAUUUGAAUAUUGUUACUUUAGACAGUGAUGCCCAAGCAGGGCCAAUUCUAAUAUGAAUAUUCUACAUAUUACACUUAAUAAUUACAUUUUGAGGGAGUUAGAUAUGGCUGCAAUAUGGCCAAAAGCAGGAAAUAUGAUUAGAAUGGUUCUAAUUCUAGACUCUGAUUCCUGCUAGCCUGUUAUUGAUGGAGGAGAUUUCUCUGUCAUGGACCUAUUUAUUAGGGCUGAGGCAUUUUAACAAGUAUUAAUUUAAUUUAAUUUAUCCAUUUAAUCAGUGGACUGUUAGCAUCGCUAUAGUUGUACUUUCCUAAGUUUGCUUCUUGACCUACCUUCUUAUGGUAACAAAACCCCUAUUUCUAGUGGGGAGCCCAUUAUAAAUGCUUUAGAGUGGGUAUAUGACCCCAGGCUGACUAAUCAGAACACAAUGCACUUGGACAUUGUAAAUGAUUCAGGGAUAAUACAAUAUUAAGCUCCACCAAUCAGAGCCCAGCCUGGGGUUUUUACUGGAAUUAUUGGGACCAUUAGCUGUAAGGAUGAGGUAAAUGUAGAGCUGUUGGUGGUCCUGUUUGCCAUUAUAUAGGGAGGCAGUGCCUUCAAAUGAAACCAAGACCAAGAAGGAAUUGCUAAGAAAUGGAGAUAUCUCUCUGAAGACAGUGUCGAAGCUGUUGGAUCCAGGUAUCCCUGGAGUCAAUGUGCUCCUGAACUUCCCAUCUAUGUAAAUUCCCUUUGCGUUACAUUUAUCUCUUAUUGCCGAGUGUUACAGCCCAAGUGCUGUGUGAUUCUUUUUUUCCUCUUUUUAUUGUUUAUUAAGGCCAUAUAUGUGGCAUAUGGAAGUUCCCAGCUAGGGGCUGAAUCGAAGCUGCAGCUGCCAGCCUACGCCAUAGCCAUGGCAAUGCCAGAUCCAAACUGUGUCUGAGACUUAUACCACAGCUCACGGCAACACUAGAUCCUUAACCCAUUGAGCAAGGCAGGGAUUGAACCUUCAUCCUCAUGGAUACUUGUCGGGUUCAUUACUACUGAGCCACAACAGGAGGUCCCAUUGUGUGAGUCUUGCUGAUGGAUGUUCUGAACAGGGCUGUUGGGGUAAGAGAAAAACAUAGGGCUUUUCCUAAGGAAGGAGAUAAUAUUGAGAGAGGCUACAGGGCUGGGCAGGCAGCUUGAAGGCAUUGGAUACCUGAUGGGGACAGGAGGAGUCAGUCAUGAGAGAGGAAGGAGGUGGGAUGAAAACUCCCUCUGUUACCCUGAGAUGUGAAUACUCAUCCUUUGAAUUCCUCACUCCUGGGGAUCUAAGCCCUUGGAGGAGUUUUAUUUCCAUUUCCAUGUACGUCACUGAAGACCCAUGUAACAUAUUAUCAGAAAAAUCUUGUAGGAGUCAAUGUUUUGGGCUCUGAGCAACAGCUCGGGUGGUAAAUGGAGAGAAGUGUGUCCUCUGGGCCCAUCUGAGGAGCUGACAGAAUCAGUGUUACCUGGAGCAGAAUUGAUGACAUAAGAGUAAUGGAGCUUGGAGGAAACUGCAAGUAGGAAAGUGGUGAUACUGUUCCUGGAUCCGUGAGAGGCAACUCCCAGGGGCAGCAGAAUAUCCAAUGAACCAAUGUCACCAAAUUCAGAAGUCUCUUCACAUUGUGAUCCAUGCCAAACUUUCAGAUCUGGCUAGUUGAUUAAAUUAUCCCUGUGCUAAAACAAGACAACAUAUAGUCACCAACAUUCAGCAUGUUUUGGGCAUUUCUAAAGCUUACAGGUUGACUUAGUUUUGUUUCUGACUUAUGCACCCUGUGUAUGUUAAAACAAUUAAAAAUCAGCCUCCUCUCCCCUACUAAAUCCCUGACCCCCUCCUUAUUUUCCCAAUAAGUCAGUACUAUAAACCAGUUUGUACACCUCUGCCUAAAAUUUCUAUUCACCUACUGCCAUUUUACAGUCCUGAGCUUGAGCAAUGGUAUCAAGUUACAGGCAGAGUAUGUGUUUCCUCCAUGGUUAACCAUUGUUCCUGACUUGCUAUUUCUGAGAGAGUGGCCAAGGUGGUACAUCAUACAUCAUCUGAAGAGGGGGCUAGGCACAGCAGCUGGCUCUUUACUGAGGUCAUCACUUAUUUCCAUGGCUCCCAGCUUCAAUAAGAUCUUAGGGAAGGAUAACUGGGAAUGGAAGAAAUGUUGCAACUGAAAUAAAUGCAAAUAAAAAUCUGCAGGAUCACCUAUGCAGGAGCAGGGGGUGUAAACAAAAAUGGAAAACUUGAUGCUUUCAGCUAAUAGACUGGUUCUUUGUAGGAGGGUAAUUCCAUUGUUAGAAACUGCCUAUUGUCACAAUCCUGAUACGGUAACGACUUCUUUUAUUCCCUCUGAAGCUGAAUGUAUCAGAGACCAAAAAUAUCCUUAGCAUAAAUCAUUCCUUUUCCAGCAUUUGACAGCCACUGUCUCAAACUCAAUUAGUCAUCAGGCACAACAAGAGCCGAGAUCAUCACAGAUUCACAUGUGUUUAAUGGAUAAAGCACGACUAGGGAGACAUUUCCUGUUUAAUCUCUGCUGUUCGAUGUUCAUUAGUAGAUCACAUGGCUAUUAAAAGAAAUAGGACAGUAGAAGUUUCUUUGGGGCAGGAUUAAGCAGAUGUGUUUUAUUUAAAAUGUGGAAUGAAUUUUAUCCCAGAGAGAUGUAAGAGAGACAGAGCAAAUGAAAGAGGCACUGGAGGAUACAAAGGGUAUUUAAUCAGAAAGCUUGUCUCAAUUGCUUGGGUGAGAACACUUCCCACCAGGACGGAUAUUUCUGAACAUUGGAAACUGAACCAUAGUACAAAACCAGACCUCUAGGGUAUCAAAAAGCUGACUCAGACUCUUCUAGAAAAAGUGCUGAGCAAGAGACAUGGUUUCAUUGAUAUUAGAAAACUGAAAUUGCCUGGAUCAUUUCUAUAAAUCUUAUGUAGCAAUUUUCUAGGCAGUGAUGUCUCACUACCUGUGCCUUCUUUCUUGGAGUAAAAAUGCUGAUUAUCAUUUUAUUAUAUCAAAUGGGGUUUAUUGGUGGUUUCCUAAUGUAGGUACUACUGAUUAGUUCUAGGCUGGAGAUGUAAGUACAAAUCAAGAUUAGGAAUCAGUUUUAAAAUAGUACCUUUCUUUUAAAUAGUUCAAAGUAUUUACCUCAAUCCUUCCAGUUUCUUUGCUGGUCCGGGUAUACCAUGUCUGUUUUUUUCUUUUAUUUUUUUAAAGUUGGAAAUCACGGGGCCUUUUUUAUUCUUUAAGAACCGCACCUGUGGCAUAUGGAAGUUCCCUGGCUAGGGGGUCAAAUCCGAGCUGUAGCUUCUGGCCUACACCAUAGUCACAGCAACGUGGGAUCUGAGCUGUGUCUGUGACCUACACCACAGUUCAUGGCAAUGCUGGAUCCUUAACCCACUGAGUGAGGCCAGGGAUCGAUCCCAUAUCCUCAUGAAUAUUAGUCGGGCUCAUUACCACUGAGCCACAAUGGGAACUUUCUAUGGGGCCUAUUUUUAAACACAGUCAAAGGGCAAUGUUGGGUAGAAUGAUGCUCUUAGGAUCAUAACAAUCUUCCUCAUGGGUUUAUGAAGUGGUUCUGAGGGGUCCAAGUAUCCUAAGAGGUGGGCAAGGGCAGGGAUUACCCUUAUUAUAAUAUGGAAACAUGGAGACACCCAAGGGGUUAAAUAUUUUGUAUCAGAUUCUAGACUGCCUGAAUCUCAGGCCUGAUUCCCUAUAGGAGAGGCCAAUAUUGCCCAGCUAAGUAGCUGGGGAGUGCAUUGGGUUUUAAAGGGUCAAGGCUAGAGCUGUGAUUUCCUAUUAAAGCUCAUGGAAGCCCAAAAGACCAGCCAGACAAAGUUCUGUAGCUAAAAUCUUGAUAAUGGAAGAGGUUUAAAUAUGUCUAUGGGGACUAAAGGCAGGGACUAAAAGCAGAAUUCAGAGACAAAAGUCAACAGUUGGAAGAUGGAUUUCAGUAUUGUACACUGGAAAUGCCCAGGGUCCCAGAUAAUUGUCUGAAACUGUAGCUGGGUGGAACUUGUGUGGUAGGACUUACCAAAGGACCAGGGCUGGAUCUCCAUGAGGUACAUCCUUGGUGAGUCCCUAAUCCUACAGAAUUUUAUGUGGCUACCUAAACUCAGGAAGACUUUCCACUUGAAGUCUAAUGAGUUAAGGUACAAUAAGAAAACCAGAAAGUGGAAUUAAUCGUCCUUCUUGGUUCUUAUAUUUUUAAGUAUGGCAAAAGGAAGAAAUGAUAAAAAAAGGACUUGGUGGAGUUCCAUGGUGGCUCAGCAGGUUAAGGAUCCAGUGUUGUCAGUGCUGUGGCUUGGUUCAUCGCUGUGGCGUGGGUUCAGUCCCUGGCCCCAGGAAUUUCUACUUGCCAUGGACACAGCCAAAAAAGUAUUACUUGGCAUAUCUAAUUGAUUUUCUUUUUUUAAAAAAAUUCUGGAGUUCCCGUCAUGGCGCAGUGGUUAACGAAUCCGACUAGGAACCAUGAGGUUGCGGGUUCGGUCCCUGCCCUUGCUCAGUGGGUUAACGAUCCGGCGUUGCCGUGAGCUGUGGUGUAGGUU
rnacentral:lncRNA from 1 species